rnacentral:rRNA from 1 species
UGGGGAAUUUUGGACAAUGGGCGCAAGCCUGAUCCAGCCAUUCCGCGUGAGUGAAGAAGGCCUUCGGGUUGUAAAGCUCUUUCGCAAGGGAAGAGAACUUAGUCUCUAACAUAGACUGAGGUUGACGGUACCUUGAUAAGAAGCACCGGCUAACUACGUGCCAGCAGCCACGGUAAUACGUAGGGUGCGAGCGUUAAUCGGAAUUACUGGGCGUAAAGCGUGCGCAGGCGGUUUUGUAAGUCAGAUGUGAAAUCCCCGAGCUCAACUUGGGAACUGCGUUUGAAACUACAAGACUAGAAUAUGUCAGAAGGGGGUAGAAUUCCACGUGUAGCAGUGAAAUGCGUAGAGAUGUGGAGGAAUACCAAUGGCGAAGGCAGCCCCCUGGGAUAAUAUUGACGCUCAUGCACGAAAGCGUGGGGAGCAAACAG